rnacentral:rRNA from 1 species
AGUGAACGCUGGCGGUAGGCCUAACACAUGCAAGUCGAACGGCAGCACAGUAAGAGCUUGCUCUUACGGGUGGCGAGUGGCGGACGGGUGAGGAAUACAUCGGAAUCUACUUUUUCGUGGGGGCUAACGUAGGGAAACUUACGCUAAUACCGCAUACGACCUCCGGGUGAAAGCAGGGGAUCUUCGGACCUUGCGCGAUUGAAUGAGCCGAUGUCGGAUUCGCUAGUUGGCGGGGUAAAGGCCCACCACGGCGACGAUCCGUAGCUGGUCUGAGAGGAUGAUCAGCUACACUGGAACUGAGACACGGUCCAGACUCCUACGGGAGGCAGCAGUGGGGAAUAUUGGACAAUGGGCGCAAGCCUGAUCCAGCCAUACCGCGUGGGUGAAGAAGGCCUUCGGGUUGUAAAGCCCUUUUGUUGGGAAAGAAAAGCAGCAGGUUAAUACCCCGCUGUUCUGACGGUACCCAAAGAAUAAGCACCGGCUAACUUCGUG